UCAUCGGGAGCUCGUGGACUGAGGGCGGCCGUACACGGUGCCGAUGGCCACGGGGCGGCCAUCCACUCCCCUUGGCGCCCUACAAGGUUGCUCCCUCCCCCCUGCGAAACCCUAGCCCACCGUUUUCCCCUCGCUCGUCUGUCUCCCUCUUAAUUUCGUCCAUGCCUGGGCGCAACCGUCGUCAAGCCGCCAUCGUUGUCGUGGUCGACGUCCACCACGAGCCGCAAUGAGAAGACCAGGAGGUGGGCACCAGCGUCCUCGACACCUGGGUAGAAGGAGCUGUACCGCGGAGUCCCGAGCCUCGCCAUCGACUUGUCUUCGUCACCACGGUCGUCGUCGUCGAUUUCGUCGAUCCGCUCGACCUCGUGCUUUCCCGGCUUCCCCGAGACCACUACGAGCACCAAUACCCCAUGACGAUGUUGAUGCCCCUGUGGUCGACUACGUCACCGACGACCCCUCCUUGCCAGAGCAACCAGUUGUCGCAACCAGAUGCUGGAGCCCAGGAGCCAGACGCCACCGUCGAUGACGACUACUACACUGGAGGUGCCUACUACUACGUGCAGCCCGCUGACGACGACCAGGAGUAGUUUAGGAGGAUCCCAGGCAGGAGGCUUGCGCCUCUUUCGAUCUGUACCCCCAGUUUGUGCUAGCCUUCUUAAGGCAAACUUGUUUCAGUUAUGUCUGUACUCAGAUAUUGUUGCUUCAGCUGACUCGUCUAUGAUCGAGCACUUGUAUUCGAGCCCUCGAGGCCCCUGGCUUGUAUUAUGAUGCUUGUAUGACUU
rnacentral:rRNA from 1 species